CUAUUACUCCCUCCGCCCGGAAAUACUUGUCAUCAAAAUGGAUAAAAGAGGAUGUAUCUAGACGUAUUUUAGUUCUAGAUACAUCCCUUUUUGUUUAUUUUGAUGACAAGUAUUUCCGGGCGGAGGGAGUAAUAU
rnacentral:pre_miRNA from 1 species